AAAUUGAAGAGUUUGAUCAUGGCUCAGAUUGAACGCUGGCGGCAGGCCUAACACAUGCAAGUCGAACGGUAACAGGAAACAGCUUGCUGUUUCGCUGACGAGUGGCGGACGGGUGAGUAAUGUCUGGGAAACUGCCUGAUGGAGGGGGAUAACUACUGGAAACGGUAGCUAAUACCGCAUAACGUCGCAAGACCAAAGAGGGGGACCUUCGGGCCUCUUGCCAUCGGAUGUGCCCAGAUGGGAUUAGCUAGUAGGUGGGGUAACGGCUCACCUAGGCGACGAUCCCUAGCUGGUCUGAGAGGAUGACCAGCCACACUGGAACUGAGACACGGUCCAGACUCCUACGGGAGGCAGCAGUGGGGAAUAUUGCACAAUGGGCGCAAGCCUGAUGCAGCCAUGCCGCGUGUAUGAAGAAGGCCUUCGGGUUGUAAAGUACUUUCAGCGGGGAGGAAGGGAGUAAAGUUAAUACCUUUGCUCAUUGACGUUACCCGCAGAAGAAGCACCGGCUAACUCCGUGCCAGCAGCCGCGGUAAUACGGAGGGUGCAAGCGUUAAUCGGAAUUACUGGGCGUAAAGCGCACGCAGGCGGUUUGUUAAGUCAGAUGUGAAAUCCCCGGGCUCAACCUGGGAACUGCAUCUGAUACUGGCAAGCUUGAGUCUCGUAGAGGGGGGUAGAAUUCCAGGUGUAGCGGUGAAAUGCGUAGAGAUCUGGAGGAAUACCGGUGGCGAAGGCGGCCCCCUGGACGAAGACUGACGCUCAGGUGCGAAAGCGUGGGGAGCAAACAGGAUUAGAUACCCUGGUAGUCCACGCCGUAAACGAUGUCGACUUGGAGGUUGUGCCCUUGAGGCGUGGCUUCCGGAGCUAACGCGUUAAGUCGACCGCCUGGGGAGUACGGCCGCAAGGUUAAAACUCAAAUGAAUUGACGGGGGCCCGCACAAGCGGUGGAGCAUGUGGUUUAAUUCGAUGCAACGCGAAGAACCUUACCUGGUCUUGACAUCCACAGAACUUUCCAGAGAUGGAUUGGUGCCUUCGGGAACUGUGAGACAGGUGCUGCAUGGCUGUCGUCAGCUCGUGUUGUGAAAUGUUGGGUUAAGUCCCGCAACGAGCGCAACCCUUAUCCUUUGUUGCCAGCGGUCCGGCCGGGAACUCAAAGGAGACUGCCAGUGAUAAACUGGAGGAAGGUGGGGAUGACGUCAAGUCAUCAUGGCCCUUACGGCCAGGGCUACACACGUGCUACAAUGGCGCAUACAAAGAGAAGCGACCUCGCGAGAGCAAGCGGACCUCAUAAAGUGCGUCGUAGUCCGGAUUGGAGUCUGCAACUCGACUCCAUGAAGUCGGAAUCGCUAGUAAUCGUGGAUCAGAAUGCCACGGUGAAUACGUUCCCGGGCCUUGUACACACCGCCCGUCACACCAUGGGAGUGGGUUGCAAAAGAAGUAGGUAGCUUAACCUUCGGGAGGGCGCUUACCACUUUGUGAUUCAUGACUGGGGUGAAGUCGUAACAAGGUAACCGUAGGGGAACCUGCGGUUGGAUCACCUCCUUA
rnacentral:rRNA from 1 species